rnacentral:rRNA from 1 species
GACGAACGCUGGCGGCGUGCUUAACACAUGCAAGUCGAACGGAAAGGCCCUGCUUUUGUGGGGUGCUCGAGUGGCGAACGGGUGAGUAACACGUGAGUAACCUGCCCUUGACUUUGGGAUAACUUCAGGAAACUGGGGCUAAUACCGGAUAGGAGCUCCUGCUGCAUGGUGGGGGUUGGAAAGUUUCGGCGGUUGGGGAUGGACUCGCGGCUUAUCAGCUUGUUGGUGGGGUAGUGGCUUACCAAGGCUUUGACGGGUAGCCGGCCUGAGAGGGUGACCGGCCACAUUGGGACUGAGAUACGGCCCAGACUCGUACGGGGGGCAGAAGUGGGGAAUAUGGAACAAUGGGCGGAAGCCGGAUGCAGCAACGCCGCGUGCGGGAUGACGGCCUUCGGGUUGUAAACCGCUUUCGCCUGUGACGAAGCGUGGGUGACGGGAAUGGGUAAAGAAGCACCGGCUAACUACGU